AGUGUCAAAUGCAGACAAAUUUCACAAUCGGAUGAUGAAUGAUAAAUUCUGGCAUUUCCCUGUCCACGACAAACGUAUGCUACACGAACUGCACUUUUGCAACUAAUUAUGUCCGCUCAUUAUUAACCCCGCUGUCGAGUCAACAAGAGAAGUCAUUCUUGACAUCCCAGAAAAGGAAAAGGGAACGGAAAAGCGAGAGGGCAGUGGAAAAAACCAAGUACAAAUGGACAAAAGGGAAAACUGAGCCAAGGCGUAAGCGAAAAAUGUGCAGAGCGCAAAUAAAUUACAACAAUAAUGACGCCAAACAUGAUAACAACAAAUGGCAAUGGGGCUUUAAUGGCGGAUUUGCUGGGGCGUUACGGGAGGGGAUUUGGCCCGGAGCUGCAGGGGACGGGCGAUUGUUAUUGAUCAUCGCAAUAUUUUGCGCAUUAAGCAGACGCAAGUCAAGCCAAACAUAUGCAGCAGUCACUGACGAAAUCGGAGAAGGGCUGAAAAUAUGCGGAGGUGCACAUAAGAAUAAAAUUCAUCUAAGGAGUGUCAAAAUAAUUCAAUAAAAACUUUACAGCUUUCAUAUUUAUUAUUUAUU
ensembl:ncRNA lncRNA:CR43406 long non-coding RNA:CR43406